rnacentral:rRNA from 1 species
GGAAUCUUCCACAAUGGACGCAAGUCUGAUGGAGCAACGCCGCGUGAGUGAAGAAGGUUUUCGGAUCGUAAAGCUCUGUUGUUAGAGAAGAACACGAGUGAGAGUAACUGUUCAUUCGAUGACGGUAUCUAACCAGCAAGUCACGGCUAACUACGUGCCAG